CUAAUUUUUUUCUUGUCAAAAUCAAUUAAAUUUUUGCUUACAAAAGAAAUAGAGUUACUAUCGAAUUUGCAAACAUACAAUAAAAAUAUCUAAAUCUAAUAUAUAUCGUUUAUAGAUUUACAAUCUCAUAAACAUAACCAAGUUUAACUGGUAACAGGUUUUGCAGUUCCAAGGAGUACACUUUUGACUGACGAUGUCAUUAGAGCGGUUCGAUCUGACCAUGGAAUAGCCCAGGACUGGUCCGUGCGGACUACAGAUUGGUCAUUCAUAUGCAAUGCUUAGCUUGAAAGAGCCACACUAUCGACCAGUAUUGAUCACGGCUUCUUCAUCUACGUUGACUUGUAAUUAGGCUAGUCUUGUAACUACUAUCGAAAAUGAUUGGAGUAGGUACUGCAUCCUGAUGAAUCAGUCUUGGACUAUCUCUUUUAGACUAGAUUAUUGUUCAACCCACAAGAGCUAAGCAACCGGCCAUGCCCGUUUUAUAGGGUACUGACACCAUGGAUGAUUUUUAAAUUCUGCCUCAACAAUGUAAUAAUUUUCGCCUGUCAUAGCAUGAGGAUGUGGUAAGUAUCCUGUUAGUAUUAAAUAUAUAUCGCUUACACUAUUUUACAGACAAUUUAAAAAUUAAAUGCAGUGGAAAAUAUCAAAAGACUUAAUUAAAUUUAAGUAGCAUUUAAUUGUGCGUUAUAUAUUAAUGAUUCAGAAUAAAGUGGAAAAAAGUGUU